AACGCUAGCUACAGGCUUAACACAUGCAAGUCGCGGGGUAACGAGAGGGAAGCUUGCUUUCCUUGUCGACGACCGGCGCACGGGUGAGUAACGCGUAUCCAACCUGCCCACCACUUGGGGAUAACCUUGCGAAAGUAAGACUAAUACCCAAUGAUAUCUCUAGAAGGCAUCUGAAAGAGAUUAAAGAUUUAUCGGUGAUGGAUGGGGAUGCGUCUGAUUAGCUUGUUGGCGGGGUAACGGCCCACCAAGGCGACGAUCAGUAGGGGUUCUGAGAGGAAGGUCCCCCACAUUGGAACUGAGACACGGUCCAAACUCCUACGGGAGGCAGCAGUGAGGAAUAUUGGUCAAUGGACGAGAGUCUGAACCAGCCAAGUAGCGUGCAGGAUGACGGCCCUAUGGGUUGUAAACUGCUUUUAUAAGGGAAUAAAGUGAGUCUCGUGAGACUUUUUGCAUGUACCUUAUGAAUAAGGACCGGCUAAUUCCGUGCCAGCAGCCGCGGUAAUACGGAAGGUCCGGGCGUUAUCCGGAUUUAUUGGGUUUAAAGGGAGCGUAGGCCGGAGAUUAAGCGUGUUGUGAAAUGUAGACGCUCAACGUCUGCACUGCAGCGCGAACUGGUUUCCUUGAGUACGCACAAAGUGGGCGGAAUUCGUGGUGUAGCGGUGAAAUGCUUAGAUAUCACGAAGAACUCCGAUUG
rnacentral:rRNA from 1 species